rnacentral:rRNA from 1 species
GAUGAACGCUAGCUACAGGCUUAACACAUGCAAGUCGAGGGGCAGCAUGGUCUUAGCUUGCUAAGGCCGAUGGCGACCGGCGCACGGGUGAGUAACACGUAUCCAACCUGCCGUCUACUCUUGGACAGCCUUCUGAAAGGAAGAUUAAUACAAGAUGGCAUCAUGAGUCCGCAUGUUCACAUGAUUAAAGGUAUUCCGGUAGACGAUGGGGAUGCGUUCCAUUAGAUAGUAGGCGGGGUAACGGCCCACCUAGUCUUCGAUGGAUAGGGGUUCUGAGAGGAAGGUCCCCCACAUUGGAACUGAGACACGGUCCAAACUCCUACGGGAGGCAGCAGUGAGGAAUAUUGGUCAAUGGGCGCAGGCCUGAACCAGCCAAGUAGCGUGAAGGAUGACUGCCCUAUGGGUUGUAAACUUCUUUUAUAAAGGAAUAAAGUCGGGUAUGGAUACCCGUUUGCAUGUACUUUAUGAAUAAGGAUCGGCUAACUCCGUGCCAGCAGCCGCGGUAAUACGGAGGAUCCGAGCGUUAUCCGGAUUUAUUGGGUUUAAAGGGAGCGUAGAUGGAUGUUUAAGUCAGUUGUGAAAGUUUGCAGCUCAACCGUAAAAUUGCAGUUGAUACUGGAUAUCUUGAGUGCAGUUGAGGGCAGGCGGAAUUCGUGGUGUAGCGGUGAAAUGCUUAGAUAUCACGAAGAACUCCGAUUGCGAAGGCAGCCUGCUAAGCUGCAACUGACAUUGAGGCUCGAAAGUGUGGGUAUCAAACAGGAUUAGAUACCCUGGUAGUCCACACGGUAAACGAUGAAUACUCGCUGUUUGCGAUAUACAGCAAGCGGCCAAGCGAAAGCGUUAAGUAUUCCACCUGGGGAGUACGCCGGCAACGGUGAAACUCAAAGGAAUUGACGGGGGCCCGCACAAGCGGAGGAACAUGUGGUUUAAUUCGAUGAUACGCGAGGAACCUUACCCGGGCUUAAAUUGCAGAUGAAUUACGGUGAAAGCCGUAAGCCGCAAGGCAUCUGUGAAGGUGCUGCAUGGUUGUCGUCAGCUCGUGCCGUGAGGUGUCGGCUUAAGUGCCAUAACGAGCGCAACCCUUGUUGUCAGUUACUAACAGGUUCCGCUGAGGACUCUGACAAGACUGCCAUCGUAAGAUGUGAGGAAGGUGGGGAUGACGUCAAAUCAGCACGGCCCUUACGUCCGGGGCUACACACGUGUUACAAUGGGGGGUACAGAGGGCCGCUACCACGCGAGUGGAUGCCAAUCCCCAAAACCUCUCUCAGUUCGGACUGGAGUCUGCAACCCGACUCCACGAAGCUGGAUUCGCUAGUAAUCGCGCAUCAGCCACGGCGCGGUGAAUACGUUCCCGGGCCUUGUACACACCGCCCGUCAAGCCAUGGGAGCCGGGGGUACCUGAAGUGCGUAACCGCGAGGAGCGCCCUAGGGUAAAACUGGUGAC